rnacentral:lncRNA from 1 species
AGUGGGGACCAGAGUUGGAGGAUGACAUAAUCCUCACGUGACCAGGAGCUGCCGCGAAGUCCUUAUAUUCCUGGGCUUCUUUCUCCUCUGGGUACCAGCCCCUUACUGUCCUGUAGGCGUUCGUGCUUGUGGCCAAGAGAAGGACUUAAAUUCCUUAAAUCUCAGAAGGUCCAAGGGUCUGUAUUCACAGACAUCUCGAGGCAAGAAAAAGAGGAAACUAUCCCGAAUCCUCACGGGAGCCCUUAACUAGGAAUCAUAAACCAUUAUAAGGAGAUUCCUGCACAACUCAGCUGAAAAAGGAUAAAUGGUGAGUGUGCAUAUUAACAUAGCUUUAUAAUUAUUGUUUUAUGCAUUUGUCUUUUAAGUCAUAUAGGAAAAAAAGGAGUUUAAACCAAAUAUGAAAAUGAAAAACUACUUGCUUUUAUAUUUACCUAUGUAGCUACCUUUACUGUUGUUUAUUUCUUUUUAUGACUUUGAGUUACUUAUUUGUGUCUCUUUUUCUCAGCAUGGAAGUCUUAUAGGACUUUUCAGAGGUCUGUAAAUACAAAUACCAAUGAAUCUAUUUUCUAUAGUAUGAAUGUACUGUAUGCUAUUAAAAUCAUUCCCCUGUCACUCAACAUUUAAGUUAUUUCUAUACUUUGCCCACUAAAAACAAUGCAGUCUGCAAUUAACAUGUUUGCACAUAUAUUCAAAUUACUGGUGCUUAUAUUUCUAUAGAAUAGAUUUUGGAAAGUAGGAUUGCUUGAUCAAAAAGUAUGUGAUCCCUUACAUUUUCCAACUUCCCUUGCACAUAUGUUGGGGCCACCAAACAUAAUAAAGACACUUCGAAGGCUUUUAAACAAUGCUGCGUGAUCUUUCCGUCUCCUUUCAGUAACCUUGGAAACCAUAUGUGCCAUCUGGAACACAUGACUGAGAUGAAUGCAGGCUAGAUACCUGAAUAAUCAGUGGAGCAGAGCCAUGCAGGAGAACCAAU